rnacentral:rRNA from 1 species
CUCGAAAAGAAGAUAGCUAAAUUAAAGGGUGAGUUUUUGUGGCAGAAGGAUUUAAAACUUUAUUUUAGGAGUGAUAUAUUAAUCGAGUUUCUUAAUAUCUAGUUUUUUAAGAAGUAAAUUUAAAUUAGCGUUUUUACAGGUUUGUAGAGAUAGUGAGAAUAGAGGGGAUAAGCUCUUUAUUAUUUAGGGUUAUAAAAUAAAUACUUAUAGUGAUUUAAUUAAGCUUAAAAUUAGCUAAGUUUUAUAGUGUGUUAUUAUUAAAAUCGGGGGAAAUAAUAUUUAUAUAUUUUUUAGUUAUUUAUUAAAAAUUAUUUAGUAAUUAAAUUAGAGUAGUUGGAAUGAGUGUAUUAGUAUAUAGAAGGGUAAGUAGUUAGUUUAAAUUAAUUGGGUAAAUUUAAAUAAUGAAAUGUUAAUUUAAGGAACUCGGCAAAAAUUAUUUCUGCCUGUUUAACAAAAACAUGUCUUUAUGAGAGAUUUAUAAAGUUUAACCUGCCCAUUGGGAACUAAAAGGCCGCGGUAUUAUGACCGUGCAAAGGUAGCAUAAUCAUUAGUUUUUUAAUUGAAGGCUAGAAUGAACGGUUGGACAAGAAGCAAUCUGUCUCUGGUUAAUGUAUUGAAUUUAACUUUUAAGUGAAAAGGCUUAAAUAAUCUGAAGGGACGAUAAGACCCUAUAAAACUUUAUAUUUAGAAAUAAUGGGUAAGUUUUGUUUAGAAGUUAUUAUUUUAGAGUAUUUGGUUGGGGCGACAAGGAUAAAAAGAAGAUAACUGUUCUUUUAUUUUACAAUAAUGUUUGGGUAUAAUGAUCCUAAUAUGGGUUAAAAGAUUAAGUUACUUUAGGGAUAACAGCGUAAUUUUCUUUGAGAGUUCUUAUCGAUAAGAGAGUUUGCGACCUCGAUGUUGAAUUAAAGGUUCUUUGUGGAGUAGAGACUAUAAGAGAAGGUCUGUUCGACCUUUAAAACUUUACAUGAUUUGAGUUCAGACCGGCGUGAGCCAGGUCGGUUUCUAUCUUUCAGAAAAAGCUAGGUUAUUUUAGUACGAAAGGAUUAGAUAA